rfam:Salmo salar isolate Sally breed double haploid chromosome ssa07, whole genome shotgun sequence.
UGCCCUCAGUACUGUAAGUCACUCUGGAUAAGAGCUUCUGCUAAAUGUCUAAAA